UACGUAGGGUGCGAGCGUUAAUCGGAAUUACUGGGGCGUAAAGCGUGCGCAGGCGGUUUGUUAAGACAGAUGUGAAAUCCCCGGGCUUAACCUGGGAACUGCAUUUGUGACUGGCAAGCUAGAGUAUGGCAGAGGGGGGUAGAAUUCCACGUGUAGCAGUGAAAUGCGUAGAGAUGUGGAGGAAUACCAAUGGCGAAGGCAGCCCCCUGGGCCCAAUACUGACGCUCAUGCA
rnacentral:rRNA from 1 species